UGGGGAAUAUUGCACAAUGGGCGCAAGCCUGAUGCAGCCAUGCCGCGUGUGUGAAGAAGGCCUUCGGGUUGUAAAGCACUUUCAGCGAGGAGGAAGGCGUUAAGGUUAAUAACCUUAGCGAUUGACGUUACUCGCAGAAGAAGCACCGGCUAACUCCGUGCCAGCAGCCGCGGUAAUACGGAGGGUGCAAGCGUUAAUCGGAAUUACUGGGCGUAAAGCGCACGCAGGCGGUUUGUUAAGUCAGAUGUGAAAUCCCCGAGCUUAGCUUGGGAACUGCAUUUGAAACUGGCAAGCUAGAGUCUUGUAGAGGGGGGUAGAAUUCCAGGUGUAGCGGUGAAAUGCGUAGAGAUCUGGAGGAAUACCGGUGGCGAAGGCGGC
rnacentral:rRNA from 1 species